rnacentral:lncRNA from 1 species
UUAUUAUUCACAUUUGGUUACAUAUUGUAUGCGCGCACAGCUUCAUGCAAUAAUUCUAUCAUAAUUAUCAAACGGAUAAAAAGGAAAACAAUACAACCUUAUUUAUUUAUACUACCAUACUACUUUCGUUCCUUUGCAGCAGGUACGAUAAUAUGCAACAACAUAAUUUCUGGAGAAACAAGUGACCAACUUUGUUCGAAACGAUAUCCCUCGAGUUCUCUUAAGAUCCAUAAGAGAAGUAGUCGCAGAACUGAAAUGAACAACCGACAAAGCUUUGACAUCCAAAGGCAAAAGGGGUGAGAGGGCAAUCAUAAAGAAACAGAAGUUAAAUAUAAAGGAUAGCAAUCUCACAUCAGGAUAUGACUCGAGAGCAUUAUCGCCAGUUAAAAGUGAACCAUGCUUGAAACCUUUAUUUUCAAAAACAUUGCACCUACAUGCAGCAAAAAUCCAUAAGUCAAUGAUCAAUAAAAUAGUGUUCAUGAGCGGGACAAACUAAUAAAUUUAUGUGUAUUGAUUAACCAUACAUCCAAAUCAUGUAAUAACCCGCAUUGGUCCUUCUUCGGACAUUUCUUCUUUCCUGAGCAUAGACAGAAACAAUAGAGAGAUAAUAGAGAGAAGGAUGUCAGCUACUCAAACAAAAAUAACA